UCUUGGAGCUCCAACAUCAUCAGGGAUACUGGCUGUUCCUGUGUGAUCGUCUCUGAAGACUUGCUACCUGAUAUAGAUGUUGAGAGUUGUCCAAAGGUCUCCCUUGCUGACUACCUAGGACGAGUGGACAAGUUUCCCGUGGUGAGGUGCCACUUAAGCUGUCCCUACUUCACCGGUUGGACUGAAGUGGUACGAGCUCCUAUUAAGUUUGUUGGGGCCCUCAUCGGAAACGUGCCUGGGGUAAGGGAUCCCCAUGACCCUGACUCUUCUCAAUCUCCAUCUGAUUCUUCCAGAACAUCCUCACCUUCAAAGUUGCCGCGAGGGACUUCUACUCCUCGUGUUCCGACAUCCCCGGCACCCCCGGACCCCCGGAUCCCCGGACGCCAUUACCACUCGUGCUGGUAGGUUGAAGAGGCUUCAUCCGCUUGUCCUUCCGGAACCUCUACCUCCUUCAGUAACCCCUCAAGACUUCUCCCAGCUUCAAGCCUCCUGUGCCUCCUUAGCAGCGAUACGGCAGAAAGCCUCAUCAGGACACGUCGACAAAGCAAGGAACGGAUCCUCCUUCCAGUACCUGUAUCGCAACGGACAUCUCUACAGGAAGUGCCUCACCUCCCCGCUUUCCAAUAAGAACUACUUCCCCAAAUUGCCAUCGACCUCGUUGGACCCUUGUCUCCACCAGCUACGGAAGAACCUCUUGUCAGCCCCAUUCCCGUAGUGGAGGAGCCAUCACCUGACGCCAGCUCCACAGAACUUCCCAUCGAUGAACCACUUAUGGACGACCGGGACGUAUUCUCCACCCCGCCUGGCUGUACUUCAACGAUUCAGCAGGACAUCGUCCGGGUGUUGAGAUAGGCCUUGGGUCUACCGGCCGUCCAUAUGGCCGGGGAGGAUAAUGUGGUGGCCGAUUUAUUGAGUAGACUUCCUGCAUAAGUCACUCCUGUUUCCUCGUCAGUCUCCUCCCUGUUUUAGUUUAUUGGCUUAUGUUCUAUUUUCUUUCCACUUGGUAGUUGUUUGUGGAAUCUACCUGGACUAGAUUCUUGUAUGGGGGCCUGUGUGAGGGCAACUACCAACUUAGCGGGCGAACGACCGGGGCACUCCUGCCGCCCGCCCGCAUCUUGCCGUUCGAAGCGGUUCAACUACCGAGGCGCAGCGAAUCACCUGCUUCACUCCCGCUGCUCGUUCGCCUGACGCCGUUCGACGCCUCGGUCGAUUGAACCACCGAGGCUUCUCAAUCCGCUAUAGGAGGCAACUUGGUGGCCGCCAGCGCCUUCCUCGUCAUACAGCGGCCUCGCCUCGCCCUGAACACUUGCUUCUACUAAAGCUCCACCCUGCUCUCACUCGGGCUAACUCAGAUACCGUGGGCUCGUUCUGGGUGCCUUACCUCUCCUCUCCACGCCCUGGACUCCCGUUACUGCUGUGAACCUGACUCCCCUUUUCCGCCUGCGCCUCCCACGUCUACACCACUUCAAGGACGAAGCUGUGCUGCCUCGUCAUUGCCACUGGACGAGACGCUCAGAGGAGGAAGAAGCCGAGCAACGGGUCAUUGCUGUGUCCGGCGUGCUGAAGCCUUCUUGUUGGAGACUUCAGAUUGUAAGGCCUGUUUUGGGGUUUUCUACUGUACUUGAAGUAAACUGGUGUCUAACCAUU